GAUUUUCCUCAAGUGUGGAAAACACAGCACUGAUGAGAUACCAGUUGCUUUUCAGCGGUAAACUGACAGACUUGAAGCGCUCCCGGCUCAGGGCGCCUUGGGUCCGUGGCGCCACCUGCUGUUCUCGCGGCGCCAGCGCAGUCUGCGAGGCCGUCCCAGCUCUUUCCACCCGAGCGCGAGGUAGACGCCGGGGCCACCCGCAGCACGCAGAGCUUCUGGGAGCCGGUGGCAAGGCCGAAUUGGGAUGCAAACCAAAUGGACGUGGGUGACUGGCAGAAAACGCCUCCCACAAAUGGGAGGGAUUUCGGAGGGAACCGAAAGAAAGUUGACACUCAGGGACCACAGUCUCCACCAUCUUAUAGAGGCACUUCCUUGAACAUGUGGUCCUCUCAGCGCCUGCAGCAGAAGAGAGCACUGGAGAGUGCCUGUCCUUGGAAUUAGUUCUUCUUCCCUAAUUAGAGUGAACUACUACAGCCACCCCAACCUUGAGCAACCAUCACUCUGAUCAAUCAGCAGCCAUCAACAUUGAGACAAGACUCUCCACCAGCAAAAAGAUUAUGACUUGUCCGGGUGCGGUGGCUCACACCUGUAAUCCCAGCACUUUGGGAGGCUGAGGCAGACAGAUCAUCUGAGGUCAGGAGUUCGAGACCAGCCUGACCAACAUUGUGAAACCUGUCUCUACUAAAAAUACAAAAAAUUAGCCGGGCAUGGUGGUAGGCACCUAUAAUCUCAGCUAUUUGUAAGGCUGAAGCAGGAGAAUUGCUUGAACCUGGGAGGUGGAGGUUGCAGUGAGCCGAGAUCACAUCAUUGCACUCCAGCCUGGGCAACAAGAGCAAAACUCCGUCUAAAAAAAAUAUAUAUAUAUAUAUGACUCACUGAAGGCCCACAUGAUCAUUCGCAAUUUUUAGCCAUAACGUAUUUUUAAAAUUAAAGUAUAUACAUUGAUGUUUUAGACAUAAUGGCAUUGUACUCUUAUUAGACUACAGCAUAGGGUAAACAUAACUCCUCUAUGCACUGGGAAAUAAAAAAAUCUGUGAC
rnacentral:lncRNA from 10 species